GAGUUUGAUCCUGGCUCAGAUUGAACGCUGGCGGCAUGCCUAACACAUGCAAGUCGAACGGCAGCGCGGGUAGCAAUACCUGGCGGCGAGUGGCGGACGGGUGAGGAAUGCAUCGGAAUCUGCCCGGUUGUGGGGGAUAACUCACUGAAAGGUGAGCUAAUACCGCAUAAGACCGAGAGGUGAAAGCGGGGGACCGAAAGGCCUCGCGCGAUCGGAUGAGCCGAUGCCGGGUUAGCUAGUUGGUAGGGUAAAGGCCUACCAAGGCGACGAUCCGUAGCUGGUCUGAGAGGAUGAUCAGCCACACUGGGACUGAGACACGGCCCAGACUCCUACGGGAGGCAGCAGUGGGGAAUAUUGGACAAUGGGCGCAAGCCUGAUCCAGCCAUGCCGCGUGAGUGAUGAAGGCCCUAGGGUUGUAAAGCUCUUUCAACGGUGAAGAUAAUGACGGUAACCGUAGAAGAAGCCCCGGCUAACUUCGUGCCAGCCGCCGCUGUAAC
rnacentral:rRNA from 1 species